GAAAUGCGAUAAGUAAUGUGAAUUGCAGAAUUCAGUGAAUCAUCGAAUCUUUGCACGCACCUUGCGCUCCUUGGUAUUCCUUGGAACAUGCCUGUUUGAGUAUCAUGAAAUCUUCAAAGUAAAUCUUUUGUUAACUCAAUUGGUUUCUACUUUGGUAUUGGAGGUCUUUGCAGCUUCACACCUGCUCCUCUUUGUUCAUUAGCUGGAUCUCAGUGUUAUGCUUGGUUCCACUCGGCGUGAUAAGUUAUCUAUCGCUGAGGACACUGUAAAAGGUGGCCAAGGUAAAUGCAGAUGAACCGCUUCUAAUAGUCCAUUGACUUGGACAAUACUUUUAUGAUCUGAUCUCAAAUCAGGUAGGACUACCCGCUGAACUUAAGC
rnacentral:misc_RNA from 1 species